UACGGGGGGUGCGAGCGUUGUCCGGAAUCACUGGGCGUAAAGGGCGCGUAGGUGGUUUGAUAAGGGUGUGGUGAAAGUCCGGAGCUCAACUCCGGAUCUGCCGUGCCGACUGUCAAACUCGAGGGCUGUAGAGGCAGACGGAAUUCCGGGUGUAGCGGUGGAAUGCGUAGAGAUCCGGAGGAAGACCGGUGGCGAAGGCGGCAUCCUGGACCGGCAUUGACGCUGAGGAGCGAAAGCCAGGGGAGCAAACGGG
rnacentral:rRNA from 1 species